rnacentral:rRNA from 1 species
UGAUCAUGGCUCAGGAUGAACGCUGGCGGCGCGCCUAACACAUGCAAGUCGAACGGCACCCCUCUCCGGAGGGAAGCGAGUGGCGAACGGCUGAGUAACACGUGGAGAACCUGCCCCCUCCCCCCGGGAUAGCCGCCCGAAAGGGCGGGUAAGUACCGGAUACCCCGGGGUGCCGCAUGGCACCCCGGCUAAAGCCCCGACGGGAGGGGAUGGCUCCGCGGCCCAUCAGUGACGGCGGGUGGCGGACCCGACCCGUCGCCGACCGAAACGGGUAAGGGCCCGGGUUUCGGUAGG